ACAGAAUGGAUUAAGGCUUGAAGGUGUUUUCCAGUGUAAAAUCGUGUAUUCGAAUAGUAAAAAAUCUUCAGGAAUUUUUCAGAAAUUAACUGUUGCCAAAUAUCUCACGGGCUUUAUCCUUCUCCAGUGACCAUUCUUUUUGGGGCCUGACCGAACCCAUUUUCCAUGUAAAUGAAAAGGUCCUCUUAGUAUUCACAGGGAUAGAACAGACUAUACUGACAGAGCUUCCCGCAUAUAAAUAUUUAAGUUCGUCGAUUGUACCUUGAAGCGAAGAGUUCGUUCAGAGUAACGAAUUUCAAACAACACUAUAGGAUACCUGUUGCUUUAAUUUUCCAUUCGUGGUGAUAUGUUAAAAAUUAUUCCUAUAAUAUUUAUAUUUUAAAGCAUUAUUAGUUGUCAACAGAAGAAUAUAAA